AACUUUUGACAAUGGAUCUCUUGGCUCUCGCAUCGAUGAAGAACGCAGCGAUAUGCGAUAAGUAAUGUGAAUUGCAGAAUUCAGUGAAUCAUCGAAUCUUUGAACGCACCUUGCGCCCCCUGGCUAUUCCAAGGGGCAUGCCUGUUUGAGUAUCAUGAACACCUCAACUCUCAUGGUUUGCCAUGAUGAGCUUGGACUCUGGGGGUUUUACUUGACUGCUGUCAGAUCCUCUGAAAUGAAUCAGAUUGUCAGUGUUUGUUAGCGUAAUGUGUGUGAUAACUUUAUACGCAUAUUAUCAAACGCUUUGCAAUAUUCAGUAAUAGUGUUUCACAAGUACUAAUAAUCGUCCUACCUAAGCGUAGACUGAUCUUUGAUCGAUCAGACUCAACACAGGUAGAACUACCCGCUCAACAUAAACAUGUCAAUAUGCCAAGGCU
rnacentral:misc_RNA from 1 species